AAAAGAGGCUGCGUUGUGGAGAAAAGUCAAACAUUCAUUUAUUGUUACUCAAUUUGGAUUUGAACAGGCCAGUUCAAAGUCAUGUCUGGAGCCAUAGGUGGUCAAAGUCAACAGAAUGAUCAACCAAAAGAUGUCAGUUAUUAUGAGAAGCGCCAUCAAGAGGACACAAAGAAGGAUAGCAGUACACCACAAGGUAAGUUAUUCACUAUGAAAAAUAAAUAAAUAGAAAAAUGGCUUGCAUUAAAUGUUUUUUCAUACCUGAUACAGUUGCAUCUUAAAAGAAACCUGUAUGUCUUUCGAGUUUUUAAUGUAUCUUGGUUUUUGAGCAAAGAUGUCAAAGUAUGUCCCUUAAAUUUUGCAAUCUCCCUUUGUUCUGAAGGUUUGCCUCUGUCAUAGCUAUGGAUACGAUGUUUGUUUAUGGCCCACCAUAUUGUUUUCAGAUGGAGAUACUUUGUAGUUCCAUACUAAUUACUGGACUUGAAACGUGAAUUCCCAUUGGACAGUUGACUUUAUGCAUUUGAAUUUAGACAUCACAACAAAGUCAUUUAGUUGCAUAAAUGCCUUGUCAGCUAUAAACAAAUUUGGCUAUGGUCGUUGGAAUAUUUAAUGCAAUGAAAGCCGUAUUAUAGACUCAAGGUCUCUAUAUAGCUUGACAGGGGGCUUUUACGUUCUUUGAAUUAGUGCUUUUAAUUAGGAUCAAUAAAGAUCAUCAUUUAGAUCACAAAACAAGAAAAGCAACUUCAGUAAUGGGAUAAUGUUAGCACCUGAAAACGCCAGAAGAAUCUUGGAUAGUUUACUACUAAUAUUCCUCUUAUAUAAUGCUAGGAUAUGGCUCCUGAGUAUUGGUUUAUCUUUUUUGCUACCUUCCACAGGUGUCUUGUGUUCUUAUGUUUUUUUUUUAAUGUUUUCGUAAUUGUUUUAGUGACUUUUAUGUUAAUGUAUUGAUUUAAAUGUUCACCAAUUUAUAACGCACGUGCAAUACUUUUAUACAAAAUUAAAUAUGCACCUAAUAAUAGGAUUACAACUUUUUGAUCUCUGUUUUUGAUGUACUACUAUGCACAUUAAGGAUAAUUCUAUUCGGGAAUUUGUAUAUGUGAAUAUUCUUGCUUAAAAUCAAAUAAAAAUUGAAAGUGGAAAAAAAUAUAUANNNNNNNNNNNNNNNNNNNNNNNNNNNNNNNNNNNNNNNNNNNNNNNNNNNNNNNNNNNNNNNNNNNNNNNNNNNNNNNNNNNNNNNNNNNNNNNNNNNNACACACAGACAUACAUACAUACUGACAUACACACACACACACAGACAGACAUACACACAGACAUACUGACAUACAGACAUACUUGCAGACACACACACACCUCAUUUAUCAGCCACCCUCCUCUUACCUUUAAGUUGCAGGAGGGUGGCUGGGGAUGAUGGGAGUGGAUGCCUCUGGUGUCCCUGUCCUAUCCUCUCCUCCGCUCUCUCCCUGCGCGGAGUAAGCUGGGAGGAAGUGACCGGCCAUCACUUCCUCCCAGCAGCACUUGCGGUGUUUAGCCGCAAUUUUAAUUUUUUUUUAAAGGGGCCCGGUCGCGCAAUCACCCGGCGCAGCGCUGACCGGGCCCCUGAAGAUACAGGGCCCAUCGGGUGGCCCUAAAUGCUUGGGCCACCUGGUGGGCCCCGGUGCAGAUGCAUCUGCGGCAGUUUCGCCGCUCCACAUGGGGCCCGGGCGGCCGGGCCCCCAGGGCCACCGGGCCCGUGACAACCAUCACGGUUGUCACCCCCUGAUGGCGGCCCUGCCUUUCCGUUCCCUUUUCUUCCCUUCUUGCCCUCUUCAACUUCAUUAUAAGUUAGGAGUCACUCUUCUUUUUCUUGAGCCCUCUAUUAUGACAUAUCUAAAUACUUCUUUAAUUCCUAUUUACCUCUUAAAUAGGAUUGGAUACAUCCCAGACCUAUAUAUCAUAUAAAAACUGACUAAUUUACUAAACACUCUGGUAUCCUCUAUUUUGUAUACACAAGUGACUGUGGGUUGUUGUUUAGCAUUGACAUAAAUUGCCUUGAUCUUAAUUUAAUCAUCCGAUAGUCGUCAUCAAAAUACAUAUGGACACAGAAAAUCUCCCUCAUUGGAUUUGCAAAAAACAAAACAAAACAGAACAAAAUCUCUUAUUAAUUAAACCACUUAGUGACAAUUAUAAAUUUCUUCCUCUCUCGCCCUCGCGCUCUCUCUCUCUCAAAUAUAUAAGCAUAUGUUUCUAUCACACAAUUUUAACAAAGACCAAGUUUGAUUAAGGCAAUCUAUAGAAUUUACAUACAGCCGUCAAGUUUUUAAGUUUAUUUUCCAUUAACAGCCUUUUUGAACCCUGUUAUGCCAGAACCAGCCCAGAGCCAACCUGUCCCGUGUCAGCCAGUCUCAAGUCAACAAGCUCCAUUUUAGCCAAGUCUUCCAGCCGCUACCCAGACAACCCCAGGACAUGCAAAGCCAGGAUAUAAGAACUAAGGACUUUGCCAGCAUUCAUGAUAUGAAAGAACAUCUGUGUGAAUAUAGAUCACUAAUUUAAUAAAUUAGCUUUUUAAACUGUCUGAACCUGGGCCCUAGGCGGCCCCCUUGUUUGCCUAACCGGUAAUCCAGCUCUGAAUUAAGUCCUUGUCCUAAUUAGCCAAAUAACCACUAACAUAGAAUAUGAAACAAAGCUUAACACAAAAUAUGGCACAUUGCAACACAUGUUUAAAGCCAAACAGUGGUGGGUAGAAUAUACGGAAAGGAUCAAGAUAGAGGAGGACAGGGUACCACGAGAAUCAUAGCAACAUUAUGAAUCGGGGAAAUUUGGGGCACCAAGUCAGUAGAGGCCGAAAAUCAGUGUAGAAUUAAGAAUGCCAUGUAACGAACAACUGCGUGAAUAUUCUUAUAUAGUUCAGGCAACGGAAUGCAUACACCAGAUAACAAUACCAUCAAAGAGGCUAUACUUCUGCAAUGUUAACGAAGGCACUGCGUUGCCAAACAUGGUUUAUUGUUCAAACUGCAAAUGUAUUGAUGUCGUACCCUUCCCUUUCUUUUUCUGUUCUGUACCCAAAUUGAACAUCGGAAUCUGCAAAUUAUUGACAACUCUCCCUUCCUUCUCUUGUUCUGUACCCCAAUUAUCUGAAAAUUCAAUAAAAUAAAAAAAUCAAUUGUAAAAAAAAAAGAAUGGCACACAUUUUUUUGUGACAGAGAAAUUAAAUAAUGAACCUCUUCUUGGAGGCAAAAUUCAUUUUCUUAGGUUAUCUCAAAAAAGAGAAAUUCACAUUGAUAAUUAACACUUACAUUGCAUAGUGAUAAAAAAAUUAUAUACAAUUUUAAUUUCAUUAUUAUUAGUAGUAAAACAAAUAUAUUGCUGAAUAAAUUACUUUGAAAUAGUAUAAUUACCAAAUAAUAGUGACAUACAGUAAAGUGCAAAUGUGUUUUGCUUUAUGAUCUAACUGACCUCACCUUAUUGAUUGGGGAGAUGCUGAGUCCUCCCAAAAUCCCACAAUGUUAUAUUCUUCAAAUAUCUUGGAGAACAAUGUAAGGGACACAAAGGUCAUGGUGAAUCAUGAAAUGGUGAAGCAAUUGAAGGGGGUUUGAGGGUGGAACAUCUGUCAAAAGGGAUGUGAAACAAUGUUGUCAAUCUUGAAAAAAUUAUCCCAAAUAUAUGCAUAAUAUAAUGACAUAAUCUGACAUCUCGUAUCCAUUAGUGAGUAUAAAAGAGGCUGCGUUGUGGAGAAAAGUCAAACAUUCAUUUAUUGUUACUCAAUUUGGAUUUGAACAGGCCAGUUCAAAGUCAUGUCUGGAGCCAUAGGUGGUCAAAGUCAACAGAAUGAUCAACCAAAAGAUGUCAGUUAUUAUGAGAAGCGCCAUCAAGAGGACACAAAGAAGGAUAGCAGUACACCACAAGGUAAGUUAUUCACUAUGAAAAAUAAAUAAAUAGAAAAAUGGCUUGCAUUAAAUGUUUUUUCAUACCUGAUACAGUUGCAUCUUAAAAGAAACCUGUAUGUCUUUCGAGUUUUUAAUGUAUCUUGGUUUUUGAGCAAAGAUGUCAAAGUAUGUCCCUUAAAUUUUGCAAUCUCCCUUUGUUCUGAAGGUUUGCCACUGUCAUAGCUAUGGCUACGAUUUUUGUUUAUGGCCCACCAUAUUGUUUUCAGAUGGAGAUACUUUGUAGUUCCAUACUAAUUACUGGACUUGAAACGUGAAUUCCCAUUGGACAGCUGGCUUUAUGCAUUUGAAUUUAGACAUCACAACAAAGUCAUUUAGUUGCAUAAAUGCCUUGUCAGCUAUAAACAAAUUUGGCUAUGGUCGUUGGAAUAUUUAAUGCAAUGCAAGCCGUAUAAUAGACUCAAGGUCUCUAUAUAGCUUGACAGGGGGCUUUUACGUUCUUUGAAUUAGUGCUUUUAAUUAGGAUCAAUAAAGAUCAUCAUUUAGAUCACAAAACAAGAAAAACAACUUCAGUAAUGGGAUAAUGUUAGCACCUGAAAAUGCCAGAAGAAUCUUGGAUAGCUUACUACUAAUAUUCCUCUUAUAUAAUGCUAGGAUAUGGCUCCUGAGUAUUGGUUUAUCUUUUUUGCUACCUUCCACAGGUGUCUUGUGUUCUUAUGUUUUUUUUUAAUGUUUUCGUAAUUGUUUUAGUGACUUUUAUGUUAAUGUAUUGAUUUAAAUGUUCACCAAUUUAUAACGCACGUGCAAUACUUUUAUACAAAAUUAAAUAUGCACCUAAUAAUAGGAUUACAACUUUUUGAUCUUUGUUUUUGAUGUACUACUAUGCACAUUAAGGAUAAUUCUAUUCGGGAAUUUGUACAUAUGAAUAUUCUUGUUUAAAAUCAAAUAAAAAUUGAAAGUGGAAAAAAAUAUAUAAAUAUAUAUAAAUUUUAACUAUAAAAAGGCCCAGGGGAAAGCAUUAACGAAUUAGCAUCUUCCUAAACGGCUGAUUAUUUUGUUGUCUUGGCAACGCAGACUUACAGUUUUUGGAAAGCGUGGUAUGCAGAUAAAUGUGAAUGACUUGUUAUCUUUUAUUAUUUGAGUUUGGUAGUUUGUGCAUGUAUUUCAAUCCCUUAUCUGUACAAUGCAUUUCAAAAAACUCCAGCGUGGAGAGCAAAGUUCAAGAACAUGUGCAGGAGUGGAGGUAAAUCAGUACUUCCAGACAAUUAAUGUAAAAUGGAGACUAUACCCUGAUAUGUUUACAAGUACACAUCAGUUAAAUAAUACAGGUCACUCAUAAUGUGACUACUUUGACUAGUAAAUCUGAAUUAAUAUGGCUGCAUUGAUGUGAAUUUGCUAGUAAUAUAUCCGCACUAAGAUGUUCCACAAAGAUAAACAAUAAAGAUCAUAGAAACAAAUAUAACAAUUAUGAUAUAAUAUAAAAUGCACGUAUAAAAAUGUGUUAUUUAAAUUAUAUUUAUUUAUAUAUGAUAUAUUUUGGAAAUAAUUUUUGUAUUUUUAUAAAUUUAAAAUAUGUCCAUGUGUGUUUGUCAAUAGUAGACCAAGUGGCACCUGUGGUACCUCAGCCAACUGCAUCCCAGCCAGCUAAGAAUCAACCAGCUGUGAGUCAGCCAGCCCAAACUCAGCCAGCUGUUAGCCAACCAGCUGUGAGCAAACCAACUGCGAGUCAACCUGCCCAAACUCAGCCGGCCACAGGCCAACCAGCUGUGAGUCAACCAACCGAAACUCAGCCAGCUGUGAGCCAACCAGCUGUGAGCCAACCAACUGUGAGUAAACCUGUCCAAACUCAGUCAGCCACAGGUCAACCAGCUGUGAGUCAACCAACCGAAACUCAGCCAGCUGUGAGCCAACCAGCUGUGAGCCAACCAACUGCGAGUCAACCUGCCCAAACUCAGCCGGCCACAGGCCAACCAGCUGUGAGCCAGCCAGCUGUAAGUCAACCAACUGAAACUCAGCCAGCUGUGAGCCAACCCGCUGUGAGUCAACCAGCCCAAACUCAGCCUGCCAACAGCCAAUCAGCUGUGAGUCAACCAGCCCAAACCCAGCCAGCCAAGAGUCAGCCAGGCAGUCACGUGUAGUCAUUAUGCAAGAAAUAACAAUUUAAGAAGGCACAAGGAGG
rnacentral:lncRNA from 1 species